CUCUCAGGAAAUGGGUGGCGUUUGACGGUAGCGGGAGAGGAAGCCCCGGCAAACUACGUGCCAGCAGCCGCGGUAAUACGUAGGGGGCGAGCGUUGUCCGGAUUUAUUGGGCGUAAAGGGCGUGUAGGCGGUCUGGUAAGUCGGGGGUGAAAACCCGGGGCUCAACCCCGGGAGUGCCUCUGAUACUGCUGGACUUGAGUGCUCUAGAGGGCAGUGGAAUUGCCGGUGUAGCAGUGAAAUGCGUAGAGAUCGGCAGGAACACCAGUGGCGAAGGCGACUGCCUGGGGAGUAACUGACGCUGAGGCGCGAAAGCUAGGGGAGCGAACAGGAUUAGAUACCCUGGUAGUCCUAGCCGUAAACGAUGAGUGCUAUGUGUGAGGGGUAUCGACCCCCCUCGUGCAGCAGUUAACGCAAUAAGCACUCCGCCUGGGGAGUACGGCCGCAAGGUUGAAACUCAAAUGAAUUGACGG
rnacentral:rRNA from 1 species